rnacentral:siRNA from 1 species
UCUGUUGAAGGUUUUGUUCGCCUC